rnacentral:rRNA from 1 species
UGGGGAAUAUUGCACAAUGGGCGCAAGCCUGAUGCAGCCAUGCCGCGUGUAUGAAGAAGGCCUUCGGGUUGUAAAGUACUUUCAGUCGGGAGGAAGGUGGUAAGGUUAAUAACCUUAUCAAUUGACGUUACCGACAGAAGAAGCACCGGCUAACUCCGUGCCAGCAGCCGCGGUAAUACGGAGGGUGCAAGCGUUAAUCGGAAUUACUGGGCGUAAAGCGCACGCAGGCGGUUGAUUGAGUCAGAUGUGAAAUCCCCGGGCUUAACCCGGGAAUUGCAUCUGAGACUGGUCAGCUAGAGUCUUGUAGAGGGGGGUAGAAUUCCAUGUGUAGCGGUGAAAUGCGUAGAGAUGUGGAGGAAUACCGGUGGCGAAGGCGGCCCCCUGGACAAAGACUGACGCUCAGGUGCGAAAGCGUGGGGAGCAAACAGG